rnacentral:rRNA from 1 species
AGUGAACGCUGGCGGUAGGCCUAACACAUGCCAGUCGAACGGCAGCACAGUAAGAGCUUGCUCUUACGGGUGGCGAGUGGCGGACGGGUGAGGAAUACAUCGGAAUCUACUUUUUCGUGGGGGAUAACGUAGGGAAACUUACGCUAAUACCGCAUACGACCUACGGGUGAAAGCAGGGGAUCUUCGGACCUUGCGCGAUUGAAUGAGCCGAUGUCGGGUUAGCUAGUUGGCGGGGUAAAGGCCCACCAAGGCGACGAUCCGUAGCUGGUCUGAGAGGAUGAUCAGCCACACUGGAACUGAGACACGGUCCAGACUCCUACGGGAGGCAGCAGUGGGGAAUAUUGGACAAUGGGCGCAAGCCCGAUCCAGCCAUACCGCGUGGGUGAAGAAGGCCUUCGGGUUGUAAAGCCCUUUUGUUGGGAAAGAAAAGCAGCAGGUUAAUACCCCGCUGUUCUGACGGUACCCAAAGAAUAAGCACCGGCUAACUUCGUG